rnacentral:lncRNA from 1 species
UGCUCGGUUACUCGGCGCAUUUUGAUAAUGCCGCCCGCACUGUUCACAGCGUGUGUGUGGAGCCUCUCUCCGCAUACUCGUGCGGCUGUGUGGGUCACCCCAAGUUGAGAGGUGAGCAGCUUAGUGAGGUUGCAAGGGAUGGCCCCAGUCACUCCGAGCGCAAGGCAUUCAUUGGUGGAGUAGUGGACCGUCCAUCCGGCCGCUUCCAGCAGUCGCUUGAGUUCUUGGUGUUGUUGAGAUUUUUCUUCCCGCUUGUCCAAAUGGCGGACGUCAGAGCUGUAACCGAUUUCAAGGAUAUAGAUGGGCAGCCGUGCUUUGUUCAGGGGCGGGCGGUACCCUUCUCUAUGUGUUUCAUGGGCGGGCAGGUUUGGGAUGAACAGAAUGUCGGGUCUGAGCCUUGUAAUAAGGGGUGAUGAUGUCCUCUCCGCAGCCAGCCAGGCGGGGGGGCGUUGUGCAGACGCAUAGUGUGGCAGGUCGGUUAGGGGGCCCGCGUCCAUGACCAUGAACCCGUUCCCGUAGGUCCCUUUGGAGAUGCAUUUGGCGAUACGCUGGACUGCCCAGUUGUGCCGAUUGAUGUACGCGCCUUUCAUUUUAGGGUGUGUGCAGCCUCCGAGGAUGUGCCCUCCGGAGUCAGGGGUGUGGCAGAGGGGGCAGUUGCCGUUCCCUCCCAGGCGGUAGCGCCGUUUAACCUGUGCGUUGAAGAGGUAGCCGUAGCGGGCGUAGAGUAUUUGCUUGACCAGCCAGGGGUGCCUGGUGGAGCUGGCGAGGGUGCGGUUGCUGAGGGUGGGGCACAUGUUGGCAGAUGCUUCCGCCCAUUGCUCCAGCACUGGUGUAUUAUUGGUAAAGCCUUGUUGUGCUUCGGGGGGCAAUGAGUUCAGGACUCCACGGUUUAGGUCGCUUAGGUAGAAAUUGUCAGAGUUGCGUUUGGGCCACCAGAUGUUGGACCACGGUUCGGCCGGCAAUAUGGCAGGCAGGAACGGCGGAAGGCAAGGGGCGGGCAUGUCUACCAGCCUGCACUGCACUCGUGUGCGUCUGUUCAAGGCAUGGGGAGCCUGCGGGGCAUGUGCGGGCAAGUUGUCAGGCCGGAAGGGCGGAAGGCAAGGGGCGGGCAUGUCUACCAGCCUGCACUGCACUCGUGUGCGUCUGUGCAAGGCAUGGGGAGCCUGCGGGGCUUGUGCGGGCAUUUCGGCAGGAACGGCGGAAGGCAAGGGGCGGGCAUGUCUACCAGCCUGCACUGCACUCGUGUGCGUCUGUGCAAGGCAUGGGGAGCCUGCGGGGUAUGUGCGGGCAAGUUGUCAGGCCGGAAGGGCGGAAGGCAAGGGGCGGGCAUGUCUACCAGCCUGCACUGCACUCGUGUGCGUCUGUGCAAGGCAUGGGGAGCCUGCGGGGCUUGUGCGGGCAUUUCGGCAGGAAGGGCGGAAGGCAAGGGGCGGGCAUGUCUACCAGCCUGCACUGCACUCGUGUGCGUCUGUGCAAGGCAUGGGGAGCCUGCGGGGUAUGUGCGGGCAAGUUGUCAGGCCGGAAGGGCGGAAGGCAAGGGGCGGGCAUGUCUACCAGCCUGCACUGCACUCGUGUGCGUCUGUGCAAGGCAUGGGGAGCCUGCGGGGCUUGUGCGGGCAUUUCGGCAGGAAGGGCGGAAGGCAAGGGGCGGGCAUGUCUACCAGCCUGCACUGCACUCGUGUGCGUCUGUUCAAGGCAUGGGGAGCCUGCGGGGCAUGUGCGGGCAAGUUGUCAGGCCGGAAGGGCGGAAGGCAAGGGGCGGGCAUGUCUACCAGCCUGCACUGCACUCGUGUGCGUCUGUGCAAGGCAUGGGGAGCCUGCGGGGCUUGUGCGGGCAUUUCGGCAGGAACGGCGGAAGGCAAGGGGCGGGCAUGUCUACCAGCCUGCACUGCACUCGUGUGCGUCUGUGCAAGGCAUGGGGAGCCUGCGGGGUAUGUGCGGGCAAGUUGUCAGGCCGGAAGGGCGGAAGGCAAGGGGCGGGCAUGUCUACCAGCCUGCACUGCACUCGUGUGCGUCUGUGCAAGGCAUGGGGAGCCUGCGGGGCUUGUGCGGGCAUUUCGGCAGGAAGGGCGGAAGGCAAGGGGCGGGCAUGUCUACCAGCCUGCACUGCACUCGUGUGCGUCUGUUCAAGGCAUGGGGAGCCUGCGGGGCUUGUGCGGGCAAGUUGUCAGGCCGGAAGGGCGGAAGGCAAGGGGCGGGCAUGUCUACCAGCCUGCACUGCACUCGUGUGCGUCUGUGCAAGCCAUGGGGAGCCUGCGGGGCUUGUGCGGGCAGGUUGGCAGGAACGGCGGAAGGCAAGGGGCGGGCAUGUCUACCAGCCUGCACUGCACUCGUGUGCGUCUGUAACGGCAUGGGGAGCCUGCGGGGCUUGUGCGGGCAUUUUGGCAGGCAGGAACGGCGGAAGGCAAGGGGCGGGCAUGUCUACCAGCCUGCACUGCACUCGUGUGCGUCUGUGCAAGGCAUGGGGAGCCUGCGGGGCUUGUGCGGGCAUUUUGGCAGGAACGGCGGAAGUCAAGGGGCGGGCAUGUCUACCAGCCUGCACUGCACUCGUGUGCGUCUGUGCAAAGCAUGGGGAGCCUGCGGGGCUUGUGCGGGCAAGUUGUCAGGCCGGAAGGGCGGAAGGCAAGGGGCGGGCAUGUCUACCAGCCUGCACUGCACUCGUGUGCGUCUGUUCAAGGCAUGGGGAGCCUGCGGGGCUUGUGCGGGCAGGUUGGCAGGAACGGCGGAAGGCAAGGGGCGGGCAUGUCUACCAGCCUGCACUGCACUCGUGUGCGUCUGUACAAGGCAUGGGGAGCCUGCGGGGCUUGUGCGGGCAUUUUGGCAGUAAGGGCGGAAGGCAAGGGGCGGGCAUGUCUACCAGCCUGCACUGCACUCGUGUGCGUCUGUGCAAGGCAUGGGGGGCCUGCGGGGCUUAUGCGGGCACUUUGGCAGGAAGGGCGGUAGGCAAGGGGCGGGCAUGUCUACCAGCCUGCACUGCACUCGUGUGCGUCUGUGCAAGGCAUGGGGAGCCUGCGGGGCUUGUGCGGGCAAUAUGGCAGGCAGGAACGGCGGAAGGCAAGGGGCGGGCAUGUCUACCAGCCUGCACUGCACUCGUGUGCGUCUGUUCAAGGCAUGGGGAGCCUGCGGGGCUUGUGCGGGCAUUUUGGCAGGAAGGGCGGAAGGCGAGGGGCGGGCAUGUCUACCAGCCUGCACUGGACUCGUGUGCGUCUGUUCAAGGCAUGGGGAGCCUGCGGGGCUUGUGCGGGCAGGUUGGCAGGAACAGCGGAAGGCAAGGGGCGGGCAUGUCUACCAGCCUGCACUGCACUCGUGUGCGUCUGUACAAGGCAUGGGGAGCCUGCGGGGCUUGUGCGGGCAAGUUGUCAGGCCGGAAGGGCGGAAGGCAAGGGGCGGGCAUGUCUACCAGCCUGCACUGCACUCGUGUGCGUCUGUUCAAGGCAUGGGGAGCCUGCAGGGCUUGUGCGGGCACUUUGGCAGGAACGGCGGAAGGCAAGGGGCGGGCAUGUCUACCAGCCUGCACUGCACUCGUGUGCGUCUGUGCAAGGCAUGGGGGGCCUGCGGGGCUUAUGCGGGCACUUUGGCAGGAAGGGCGGUAGGCAAGGGGCGGGCAUGUCUACCAGCCUGCACUGCACUCGUGUGCGUCUGUGCAAGGCAUGGGGAGCCUGCGGGGCUUGUGCGGGCGAUUUGGCAGGUAGGGCGGUAGGCAAGGGGCGGGCAUGUCUACCAGCCUGCACUGCACUCGUGUGCGUCUGUGCAAGGCAUGGGGAGCCUGCGGGGAAUAAUAAUAAUUCAAACGCCAGCCCAUGGGGCCUGGCGUGGAUUAUCGGGGUAAGGUGGCUAGGGCGAGGAGGCCCAUCCCCCUCGCGCUGCCACCUCACCACGCACUCCGAGGAGGUGUGGGGGAGCCGUGGCUUACCCGCCUCUCGGUUUGAGUUCCUGCUCGGUUACUCGGCGCAUUUUGAUAAUGCCGCCCGCACUGUUCACAGCGUGUGUGUGGAGCCUCUCUCCGCAUACUCGUGCGGCUGUGUGGGUCACCCCAAGUUGAGAGGUGAGCAGCUUAGUGAGGUUGCAAGGGAUGGCCCCAGUCACUCCGAGCGCAAGGCAUUCAUUGGUGGAGUAGUGGACCGUCCAUCCGGCCGCUUCCAGCAGUCGCUUGAGUUCUUGGUGUUGUUGAGAUUUUUCUUCCCGCUUGUCCAAAUGGCGGACGUCAGAGCUGUAACCGAUUUCAAGGAUAUAGAUGGGCAGCCGUGCUUUGUUCAGGGGCGGGCGGUACCCUUCUCUAUGUGUUUCAUGGGCGGGCAGGUUUGGGAUGAACAGAAUGUCGGGUCUGAGCCUUGUAAUAAGGGGUGAUGAUGUCCUCUCCGCAGCCAGCCAGGCGGGGGGGCGUUGUGCAGACGCAUAGUGUGGCAGGUCGGUUAGGGGGCCCGCGUCCAUGACCAUGAACCCGUUCCCGUAGGUCCCUUUGGAGAUGCAUUUGGCGAUACGCUGGACUGCCCAGUUGUGC